CCAAUAGCGUAUAUUAAAGUUGUUGCAGUUAAAAAGCUCGUAGUUGAAUUUCGGGGUUAGUAGGUUGGUCAUGCCUCUGGUAUGUACUGGUCUCACUGAUUCCUCCUUCCUGAUGAGCCGUAAUGCCAUUAAUUUGGUGUUGCGGGGAAUUUGGACUGUUACUUUGAAAAAAUUAGAGUGUUUAAAGCAAGCUAACGCUUUACUACAUUAGCAUGGAAUACUGACAUAGGACGUUCGAUCCUAUUUUGUUGGUUUCUAGGAUUGACGUAAUGAUUAAUAGGGAUAGUUGGGGGCAUUAGUAUUCAAUUGUCAGAGGUGAAAUUCUUGGAUUUAUUGAAGACUAACUACUGCGAAAGCAUUUGCCAAGGAUGUUUUCAUUAAUCAAGAACGAAAGUUAGGGGAUCGAAGACGAUCAGAUACCGUCGUAGUCUUAACCAUAAACUAUGCCGACUAGGGAUCGGAUGAUGUUAAUUUUUUAAUGACUCAUUCGGCGCCUUAC
rnacentral:rRNA from 1 species